GACGAACGCUGGCGGCGUGCUUAACACAUGCAAGUCGAACGGAAAGGCCCUGCUUUUGUGGGGUGCUCGAGUGGCGAACGGGUGAGUAACACGUGAGUAACCUGCCCUUGACUUUGGGAUAACUUCAGGAAACUGGGGCUAAUACCGGAUAGGAGCUCCUGCUGCAUGGUGGGGGUUGGAAAGUUUCGGCGGUUGGGGAUGGACUCGCGGCUUAUCAGCUUGUUGGUGGGGUAGUGGCUUACCAAGGCUUUGACGGGUAGCCGGCCUGAGAGGGUGACCGGCCACAUUGGGACUGAGAUACGGCCCAGGCUCCUACGGGAGGCAGCAGUGGGGAAUAUUGCACAAUGGGCGGAAGCCUGAUGCAACAACGCCGCGUGCGGGAUGACGGCCUUCGGGUUGUAAACCGCUUUCGCCUGUGACGAAGCGUGAGUGACGGUAAUGGGUAAAGAAGCACCGGCUAACUACGUGCCAGCAGCCGCGGUGAUACGUACGGUGCGAGCGUUGUCCGGAUUUAUUGGGCGUAAAGGGCUCGUAGGUGGUUGAUCGCGUCGGAAGUGUAAUCUUGGGGCUUAACCCUGAGCGUGCUUUCGAUACGGGUUGACUUGAGGAAGGUAGGGGAGAAUGGAAUUCCUGGUGGAGCGGUGGAAUGCGCAGAUAUCAGGAGGAACACCAGUGGCGAAGGCGGUUCUCUGGGCCUUUCCUGACGCUGAGGAGCGAAAGCGUGGGGAGCGAACAGGCUUAGAUACCCUGGUAGUCCACGCUGUAAACGGUGGGUACUAGGUGUGGGGUCCAUUCCACGGGUUCCGUGCCGUAGCUAACGCUUUAAGUACCCCGCCUGGGGAGUACGGCCGCAAGGCUAAAACUCAAAGGAAUUGACGGGGCCCCGCACAAGCGGCGGAGCAUGCGGAUUAAUUCGAUGCAACGCGUAGAACCUUACCUGGGUUUGACAUGGAUCGGGAGCGCUCAGAGAUGGGUGUGCCUCUUUUGGGGUCGGUUCACAGGUGGUGCAUGGCUGUCGUCAGCUCGUGUCGUGAGAUGUUGGGUUAAGUCCCGCAACGAGCGCAACCCUUGUUCACUGUUGCCAGCACGUUAUGGUGGGGACUCAGUGGAGACCGCCGGGGUCAACUCGGAGGAAGGUGGGGAUGACGUCAAGUCAUCAUGCCCCUUAUGUCCAGGGCUUCACGCAUGCUACAAUGGCUGGUACAGAGAGUGGCGAGCCUGUGAGGGUGAGCGAAUCUCGGAAAGCCGGUCUCAGUUCGGAUUGGGGUCUGCAACUCGACCUCAUGAAGUCGGAGUCGCUAGUAAUCGCAGAUCAGCAACGCUGCGGUGAAUACGUUCCCGGG
rnacentral:rRNA from 1 species